ensembl:lncRNA novel transcript
UUUUUGGAGAUGGACAUGGACAGGGGCUGAAACUGCAGUACCAGCAGAUGGGGAGCUUAAGAAGGAAGCUAGUUCAUGGCACAGCACCCGUAAAGUCCCCAGAAUUGGAGGCACCAGAUUCUUCUGAAAGAAAAGGAGCAAUUCAGCACUUGUCAUGCAGAUAAGAGGUCAACACCCCAGGACGGAGUGAAAACCUAAGGUUUGUAUUUUUGAUACACAAAGUGCUCUUUUGGAGGAAACCAAAAAAUGUCGAGUUUCUGGCAAGGUAUGGAAACAGGACAGAAGGAGACCAGAGUCGAAGCACCAGAGGGCAUAGAUGUGGAAAGUGGUCCUAGUUAGGAGCUGUUGCCCAGGAAAUGUUGAGGGCACAAGCUGUAAGCAGGACCACAGUGAAGACAGCUAGUGUCAAAAGCCCUGCCAAGCCAGUCCUUCACAAGGGCUGUCCAGCCUUUAGCAUGGGGGACUCAGCAUGGCAGGCCUGUACCUAGUAAAAUUUCUGUCUUCCCAGUGGUGACAAUCGGCUCCUUCCGCACCUGUAAGAGCAAAUUUGGUUCUGCCACUGUCUGAUUGCCUGGUGCUCACAGUUCACUUCCCUGUCAAGCCAGGUCAUCCUAAUACCAGAGAGGACUUCACUUCUCCCUAGCAAUGACCAAUUCUGUGAAACUGAUUACUCCAAACUGUAUGUAUAGACUUAGCAAUGAGGAAAGGCUUUGCCAGAUCAUCUUUUAAAACUAAACCUCAACUUCGAUGUGCUCUCUGUGCUCCAACCACACCUGUCUUUUUCCUUGUUCCUCAAUGGUGUCAUGUUUCUGUUACAGGGUCUUAGCAUAAGCUAUUUCUUCUGCCUGGAGGGCGCAUCCCCCAACCAUCACAUGACUGGCCACAUUGCUCAGACUUUAGCCUAGAUGUCACCUCUUCAGAGAAGCCUUCUCUGACCACCUUAUUUAAUGUUGAUCACUCCACCUGCAGCCCAAACACCAGCUAAUAAAUUCCCUCCUACUCCUCCAUCGUUUCUUUAAUUUUUAUGCCUCAUGUGAAAAGUAUCGAGUCAAUCACAUACUUCAGUUCAUGGUAUAAUAUUAUUACAUUUCUUUCGUGGAUAUUUUCCCCAUUCAUCCCUGGUUUCCAUUUCCGUUACCUCUCCUUUCACAUAUUCAUUCACUAUAAGGCAUUACAUAUAUAUCCUUGUCUAAAAAUGUAAUAUUGUCAAAUGUAAGUUAUUAUUUGGUAUAUCAUAUGUUUCACAAAUAGUAUUGUGCAAUAGACCUUGCUCUAGUUAUUAUGUUUUGUAUUCACCAGUGUGUUCUAAAGACCCAUCUGUAUCUGUUAUAUAUGUAGGUACACUUGGUUCAUUGCUUCUAACUGAUCCUUGGUAUCCCGUAGUGUGCAUUCAUCCCUGCUCUGGAUACAGUCAGCUCCCAAAUUCCAUAAACAACUCCUUUGUAAGUAACCUCCUUUUGACAGGGGGUAGAAUUGCUCAGGGUCCAGAUGCUCCCAUUAUUAUCUGUUCCUCACCCUGGCCAGGCUGUGGCACUGCCCUGAUAUUAUCCCAUCACCUCCGUGUAGCAGAUAUUUUGUCUCAAGGUGGUUCCAGGCCAGGCGAUUAUCUGCCAAGGACAGUGGUUAGAGAGAGGAAACAGCCUGCAACUCUGCCUGCACCAUGUCCUAACAGUGACUUUCUCUGCUCAGCCUAUGGUUUACCCACAGCAGGUCACAGCCACCCUUUCUCUCUGCCCAGUGGUUUCUUAUGGUUUUUACCUAGAUUUACGUCGACUUGCAGAUCAGUACACUCCUCUCCUGCUUCUGAGGCAACAUCAGGGUUGGAAUUUGUGGAGUUCCUUAUAGUCUUCAUAAUGCUAAUCACUACCUGAAAUUAUCAUCUUUUUAAUUGGUUUACUUGCUUAUUGUCUGUCUCCCUCACUGUAAGACUGUAAAUGCCACAUGAGCAAGGACCUUAUCUGAACACCUUCCUAGGUUUGGGGAUAUCCCACCACAUGCAUACCACUGAGGGGCAGAGAUGCCUUCCAGUGUAGAAACAGCUAGGACCAUAUAGUCACAGCCCCAGGCAGCUUCACAGCUAAGGCACGGGCAUUCCUUCUCUAUUUGGCCAUCAGACCGACCUGUGAAUCCCAAGUUGGAGAAAUGAAGUCACCAAGGCAGUGGAGAAUUCAGUGGUCGGGGCAGCUGUAGUGGCAGCAGUAGUGCCUGUGGCAACAGUUUCAGGAGUAGCAGUUGGUAUCCUGCCUCCAAAGACAGAAUGUAGGUCCACCAGCAGCACCGCCUUUACCAGACUGGUACUAGGACCUAAUUUUGGAAGUGGUUCUUCCUAUCGAGACUUUGGGCUACCUAAUAUCCUUUCAACAAAUUUGUUAUUUCCUAAAUCAGUCAGAAUCAACUUUUAGUGUGUAAACUGAGAACCCUCAGUAGAACUAUUAGCCACAAUGUCCGCUUUUAUUGUCUAAGUCCAUUUGAGCUGAACUUUCUGUAACUUGAAGACAGAAGCUCCCUAACUCAGGGGUCCUCAACUCCCAGGCCACACAGCAGGAGGUCAGCAGUGGGCUGGCUAGCAGGGGAGGCUUCAUCUGUAUUUACAGCCGCUUCCCAUCACUCGCAUCACCGCCUGAGCUCUGCUUCCUUCAGAUCAGCAGUGG